rnacentral:lncRNA from 1 species
GAAACCCAAAAAAAAUGUAUCUAUACUUAUUGAUUCAAUAGAAAAUAACAAAAGAUUUUUAUUUAUCCAAGCAUUAUCGGUGUUGAAAAAAAAUUGAAAUUCAUUGUUUUUUUUUUUUGGUUCUUGGGGAGGUUAAACUAGCCUAGCAUCUAUUUACACAAACAAAAUGUGAAGUAGUUAUCCCCACUACAUCAUUAUCCCCAAUACAUCAUUUCCUAUUAACUGUUUGAGUUCAUCUAGUAAAAGCAGAAUUUUCAUCUGGUGGUGAGUAACAAGCAGACUUUUCAUAUGGUGGUUCUGAGUAACAAGCAUAAUUUGUAUCCAUGUUAAUGCUUCUCUUUGCUAGCCAGUCUGCACAGUACUUCCCUUCUCUCCAAUUGUGCUGGAUAUUACAGUUUCAAUCUUGAUUGAGUAGCACUCUGACCUGAGUAAGAAGAUUGAAAUGUAUGCUUCUGUUGUUUUCUUCUUUAACUAGAUUCAUGCUUGUUUCAAACUCCAAAACUACUUUCCUGUAUCCCUUUGCCUAAUCAAGUCUCAAACCAUGUAUCAUAGCCCAAAGUUUAGCUACUACGUUCGAAACUGUACCCUUUAAAAGAAGCCUCAUUUCCAGAUUCCACAUCAUCCCUAAGCAAUUCUCUAGCCCCAGUCGGUCCUGGGUUACUGACUGCAGCUCUAUCCACGUUUCCUCGUGACUUUUUCAACUGUAAAACCGAGUGAGAGCAAUUGGGAAUGGAAAUGGAAAUGCAAAUAGGAAACAGAAGCGAAAACGGAAACAGAAAUUGCAAUCGCAAUUAGUCUUGGGAAGAAAGGUAUAUAUUCACAUGCUGCUUCUUCUUCUUUUUUUCUUUCCUUUUUUUCCAUCCAGGUUUGCUCGGUGUUUUGUUUUUGAGUUGAGUGGAUUCUACCUUUUUAGACCCAACUGUUCUCAGCUU